UACGUAGGGGGCAAGCGUUGUCCGGAAUCAUUGGGCGUAAAGAGCGCGUAGGCGGCCCGAUAAGUCCGCUGUGAAAGUCAAGGGCUCAACCCUUGAAUGGCGGUGGAUACUGUCGGGCUAGAGUCCGGAAGAGGCGAGUGGAAUUCCUGGUGUAGCGGUGAAAUGCGCAGAUAUCAGGAGGAACACCAAUGGCGAAGGCAGCUCGCUGGGACGGUACUGACGCUGAGGCGCGAAAGCGUGGGGAGCAAACAGG
rnacentral:rRNA from 1 species